UUCUUCCUAUCUCCUCCCAUCCAGAACAACAACUAGAUCGCCGAUGCCGCCGCGCACCUAUUCUUCCCCUGCAUCCCCGCCUCCGUUUUCCCCUUCAUCACGAGUGAAGUUCCCACCUCCGCGGGUAGCGCGCGCUCGUACGCAUCAAAUCGGGGUCCAUCCCCAAAUGGGUGACCCGGAGUUGGAGAUGCGGCCGCGUUCAUCACCAAGCCGCAACCCACGACCCUCCAUAGCUAGCACGACAAGAUGAUUCCUUUAGACUACUGCUAGAUUGGUAUUCGAUCCCUGCUCCACAUCCUGAUUCGCGUUCUGUAGGACCCAAAGAAUUAGCUGGACAUACUUUAGAGAGUUGAACUACCAUGGUGGCAAUUAAUGGACUAAACUACACUGGAUUGCUACCUGCAUUUUACUUGAGUUGUGUUUGAUGGAUACUUGAUAUGAGAAUUAUGAUUUGUAUGAACCUACAUAUUAUACGUAUGGAUUUGAAUUUUUUAAUUCAAUGGCUAUUUUUUUA